UUUGAUAUGUUGAGUGAAUUAUGGAGACAGGAAAGGCAGCGGUUACCUGUAUUUCCCUGGAGUUGUCAACAGGUGGCGCUAUGUGUGUUGCGUACGAGAUUAUGCGCAUGCAUUCUCACCUCGGUCAUUGUUUUGAUAGACAUGCAACGAGUAGUGUGAGAGAGACGCGCACUCUCUGGGAACGGUGUACACAGUGUAUGUUGAGCAUUUCAGCCCUCGUGAAGUGAAUGUGAUGUUCUGUAUGAGCUGAUUGUUACGCUCUUCACCAAUCAGCUGAUGACCCUAUUCAAUAUGAAGGGGAAGGGCAAAAAAGAUUAAAUUAGAAUUGAAGACAAGAAAUUGUUUUCAGCAAUAAAAGCUGCUGUCAUGAAAUGGGACCCAGCUGCAACAGAGUCCCAAAUAAAGUCUGCUGCAUCUGAUCAUAUGAAACAUGCCCCCGGGAGAGUCGGGGUGGUGGCUGUAAAUUAAUAUAUUGUGGACCUUAUAGCAGCCACAUUUUGUUAAUUGUUUACUGUUUUAACAAAACUUUAUAGCACUUUUAUUUAUAACUUUACUGUUCUGGCUUUUAAGUUUUAUUAUAUUAUUGUGUUCAUUUAUACUUGACUGUUCAGGUUUUAAGUUGUAUUGUGUUAAUUUAUACUUUACUGUUCUGGUUUUAAGUUGUAUUGUGUUAAUUUAUACUUUACUGUUCUGGUUUUAAGUUU